UUAGCUGCCACCUUUCCCACAGGCACAACGUGCCCCAGGAGCUCCUCGUCCAAGGAGGGCGAGAGACCUGUGCCCUGCAUCCUGAGCCCAGCCAGCAGAGCUCCAGCUGCCUCGCGUAUGUGUGAGAGAGUGACAAAUCAGUUGAAUUUCAUGAUGGUCACGGCAUCAACUGAUAUUCAUUCCAGGCCAGCGCUGUGCACACAGCUCCAGCAUGCUUCAUCAAAACCGUCCUUUUGGAGAGACCCAGCCUGCCUUUGAUGAAUCCCUGUUCCUGUUAUGGUCCGAAGACUCAGGAAGAGGCAAAGGGGUCUUCGCUUGUGCAAAUGAGUUACAGCAAUGAGCAGCAGCUCAAGGGCGUGGGUGCUCACGAGCUCGUUCCUCCCUUCCUUCCCUUCCCCUCGUGUUCUGCCACUUCGCCUCUGCCCUCUGUCCUGCACAUGUACGCGGCUCAGUGCUGAAAUCCCUGCUGUCAUGAAUCUUACAGAGUAGAUGGGGCAACAGACAAGGAAGCAGCACAUAAAUAACGCACCCCACGUGGCGUGGGGGGAUCGCUGGGCUGGUAUGAGGGAGCAAGUUGGGGCGGGAUGCUUGAGGUCAGGGGUCUAUAAAAGCAUUUUUGGAAUGGUGACUUUUCAGCUGAGACCUGAGUGCAAGCGGGAGCCAGUCCUGGGGCUGGGAGGAGCGUGCGGGCAGAGGAAGGGGCAAGUGCCAGGUCCCAGGGCAGGGGCUGGUGGGAGGGCAGCUGCUGACUGCAGGGGAGCUGACCAUGGCCCUUGGUGGAGCGUCUCUUACUCCAGCAUUGUGGAGACCACUGCAGGGCGGGCCUCAGCUGUGGGACAGAUGUUAAUAGGGAGUUGACAGAAAGCAGGGGUUCGCAGAACUCCCAGGGGCUCCCUUGAACAAGGCAUGCCAGGUCACUCUAUUUCCUUUCUUGUGAUAUUUAUGAAAGUAAGAGAUUAAAGCAAUUCUUGUAGACAUUGUGGAUCGUGUUUAUAAAAGCAUUUAAUGAGAUAACUCAGGAGAGUAAAAUAUGGAGUAGAUGAUAAGGCCCUGCAGCAAAUUUGCACCUGUUUGGACAAUAAAUUGAGGUCAAGACCCAGCUGGGUUCAGAGAACGCCUGCGUAUCAGAGUUCUAGGUGGCCAGUGCUGGCAGCAAAGUCCACACAUUCCUUGAUAGGAUCUGCAUGACAAAUAAAAAUAGGUGCACUUAAGAACACUGCCCUUUAAGACAAGUGUUAAUGAAGUGUGGAUUUUAAUUUUACUUUGUAGGUCAGUCCAUAUCCACUCAUACUUAGUCUUUUAGACAUUUUUAAAUGGCUAUCUUGAUUUAUCUUAAAAGAUAAAAGAGGAAACAAAAUUGAUUUAAUAAUAUUCUCAGUGGGGAGGCCCGAAGUGAGACCGUAAUGACACCACAUGAAGGCCCUUCCCCAGGAACAGCGCUCUGGGCUUGUGGAGAUCAGGGCGGCUGGCCUCGGGGUGAGGACCUGGUUCUGUUAACUUGCAGAGAGAAGCUCGUGGGAGGUCAUCAGAUGACUCUCAGGGUGGAGGACCGGAGCCACUGCGGGGUGGCGGGAGCGUGGCCACUGCAGGGGCUUGCAGGGCAGGGAGUCCCGGGAAGACUUGCUCUGGAGGUUUUCCCGCCGGCUCGGCCAGGCUGGCUUGGGCAGGGGCUGCUGCUGGCCCCGCGAGGGCAGGGCACGUUUGAGAUGCAUCCCACCAACGAUCCCUCCAUGCUCAGGGUGACUCCUGCAAAGGUCAGGGUGCUCUCCUCAGUCGGCAGAAGGUGUGGGGACAACCACAAGGGACCGUCCCUUGUUGGCAUCAACCAGCAGCAUUAAUACAACUGUGACAUCUACACCAUCUUCCUGCUUUCCCAGUUCGUAUGCGUGCGCACACACGUGUGUUUUGAGUGUGCGUUUUACACGGAGGUGUGGGAGCACUUUCGUGUGCGUCUCUGGCAGUCCUUCCCUGGAGAUUGUGUGGUGAAUUAAAGGAGCAUCGCGACAGGGCCAGAGGCAGUGUUUUGACCUCACGGUGGGCCCUGGGUGGCGCUUCUGAGGUGGGGGAAACCUUAACGUCUCUUCUGUUGCCUGCAAGGACUGUCUGCUUAGCAAAUCAUGGUUUCUGUUACAUGUUCAAAGAUACUCUAUCCACCUGGGCUCGUGGAGCCCAUGAAGAGCUGAGCCCAGAGAGAUGCCAGUGAGUGAGUACCGCAGUGGGCUCUGGAGCCAGCUCCCCAGCACCACCUCACACCAGCUGGGUGACCUGGGCCAAGUCAUUUUGCCUUCUUAAGCCUCAGUUUCCUGAUCUGGGAAAUGGGUGUGGCAGGAUUACCUUUCUCAUGCUGGGUCUGUGUUGAGG